rnacentral:rRNA from 1 species
UACGAAGGGGGCUAGCGUUGCUCGGAAUCACUGGGCGUAAAGCGCACGUAGGCGGAUUCCUAAGUCGGUGGUGAAAUCCUGGAGCUCAACUCCAGAACUGCCUCCGAUACUGAGAGUCUCCGAGUCCGGGAGAGGUGAGUGGAACUGCGAGUGUAGAGGUGAAAUUCGUAGAUAUUCGCAAGAACACCAGUGGCGAAGGCGGCUCACUGGCCCGGUACUGACGCUGAGGUGCGAAAGCGUGGGGAGCGAACAGG